ACCCAUUUCCCUUUGACCCAUUUCCCGUAGACCUAUCUCUCUCGGUCUCUCACUCCCCUUCACGGAAGACAAAUCCUGAGAAGGGCUACACCACAUUUGAAGGCGAUAUAGGAGGCACAUCUCCUCUCUCUCGGAUCUCUUUCUCCCACCAGACCUCUCUCCUUCCCUCUUUCUCUCUCACCUGUCUUUAUGGAGCCCGACCUUCCCCUACACGCCCUGGCUAGGGAUCUUCAGAGGCCGUCGACGGGCCCAAGCUCUCACACGACACCAGAGGUGAACAACGACAUCGAAGACCAGCUAGCUCCAUCAGACUUCAGUUCGAUCAUUCUUCGUCGCCCAGGGUUUCUUGACUGCCUUUCUCUUUCUCUCACUCAGGGUUUCUCCAAUUUGUGUCCCUCUCUCAAUUACAUCUCACUUCAUUACAAAUAUGGUUGGAAAAAGUUGAUUUAGGGCUUGAAAGCUGUGCAAGAUGCAGUUUCUAAGCAGAAAAAACUGACAAGUGCAUUUUAUAAUGAAUGUAUGAAGCUGCGGCAAACUAGUGAACCUGAGGCUCCACAGGAGGUUGCAGGAGCUAGUAACAUAGAUCUACUCCAUCCUUCCACCAUGCCAGUGACAUCAACUGUUCAAACACCACUAUUGUUUAGAGGCACCCUUAAA